GACGAACGCUGGCGGCGUGCCUAAUACAUGCAAGUAGAACGCUGAAGGAGGAGCUUGCUUCUCUGGAUGAGUUGCGAACGGGUGAGUAACGCGUAGGUAACCUGCCUGGUAGCGGGGGAUAACUAUUGGAAACGAUAGCUAAUACCGCAUAAGAGUAGAUGUUGCAUGACAUUUGCUUAAAAGGUGCAAUUGCAUCACAACCAGAUGGCCCUGCGUUGUAUUAGCUAGUUGGUGGGGUAACGGCUUACCAAGGCGACGAUACAUAGCCGACCUGAGAGGGUGAUCGGCCACACUGGGACUGAGACACGGCCCAGACUCCUACGGGAGGCAGCAGUAGGGAAUCUUCGGCAAUGGACGGAAGUCUGACCGAGCAACGCCGCGUGAGUGAAGAAGGUUUUCGGAUCGUAAAGCUCUGUUGUAAGAGAAGAACGAGUGUGAGAGUGGAAAGUUCACACUGUGACGGUAUCUUACCAGAAAGGGACGGCUAACUACGUG
rnacentral:rRNA from 1 species